UGAAUCUUUGCUAAUGACUGGUGGUGUCUGAGUCAAGGAUGGUGAAUAAUACUUGUUUGGAUAUCUGAGGUCCAC
ensembl:snoRNA